ACUGACAAGAAAGUGAAAAUCGGAAGGAAACGCGUGCAAACGGAUGAUAAUUUACCGUCAACACCUCUCAACCUUUAUGCAGUGAUGAUUUCAACACCUAUUGUCCAUACACCUUCAUGCUCACAGGUAUGAAGGUGGCUCCAUAAGUUUCCGGCCCGACCAACUUUUAAUAGUCAUAGAGACGAAACAAGUGUAUCAGUUUUCGACAUAGUCACCCUUAACUUCGGUGCACUUUUGACACCUUUCAACCAGCAUUCUUAUACCCUUGAAAAAAUAGUCCGAAGUUUUGUCCGCAAAAUGCUGGAAAACUGCCUCUUGCACCUCACUAUCGUUUUGAAAUCUCUGUCCUCUGAGAUCCCUCUUCAAGUUUGAGAACUGGAAGUAGUCACUCGGUGUCAAGACUGGACUGUAGAGUGGGUGGUGGAUUUCUUCGAAGCCGCACUCCUUCAGUGCAGCCUUGGCAACAGAAGCCGUGUGGACAGGGGCAUUGUCCUGGAGCAACCGGACACCUUGACUCAACCUGCCGCGCCUCUUUUCCUUGAUGGCGUCUCGCAGUCGGUGCAGGAGUGAAGCAUAAUAAGUCGCAUUCACUGUGGUGUUCCUCUCUUUGAAAUCGAUGAGGAGGAUCCCGUGACAAUCCCAAAAUAUUGUUGCCAUGAUCUUCUUUGUGGAUUUUGUGACCUUGGCUUUUCUUGGGGGUGCUUCUCCUGGUUUGCGCCAUUCCAUCGACUCCUUUUUCGAAAGGGGAUCAUAGUAGAGCACCAUAGUCUCAUCCUCUGUGAAAAUUGACUUCAAUAUUUCUUGUUCGUUCUCUUGACAGAGCUCCAAAAACUCUUUGGCACAGACGACGCGCUGUUGCUUUUGAACUGACGAGAGAAGUCGUGGCACCCAUCUCGCGCUGACCUUUAUCAUGUGAAGGCCCUCGCUGAUGAUGUGAGAAACGGUUGUUUUGGAAAGCCCCAGCCUUUCUGAGAUUUCCUCCACCUUCAGACGCCUGUCGCUCAGCACUUCCUCCUCGACAAGAGACAAAUUUUCUUGUGUCACCACUUCCACUGGACGACCAUCGCGUGGGUCAUGUUCAAUGGACUCUCGCCCCGGUCGAAACUGCUUAGCCCAGUCUUUUACCGUUGUGUACGACGAAGAGGCUUCCCUGUACACGUUGUCCAGUCGUGCUUUAAUUUCUUUAGGCGAAAGUCCCACUUUUGUCAAGAAGUUUAUCACAGCGCGGUACUCGAUUUUUUUCCAUUUUAACUGAAGAGUGCACCCUGGCUGUUUGAAAUGCCGCUCUCCAACCGACAAAAGCAUGGAGAGGGUUGAGGGUGGUGCUCCGGCCCUCCAACAAAUGGCGCCACGCGUUCUUAAUCGCAUUUUCAAAUUCGCGCGCAUUUUCUUCCUCGCGCCGGAAACUUAUGGAACCACCCUCGUAGGUCAAGCUCCUGUUUUGUUUAACAUUUUAACUUCUGCAUGCCUUGCAAAUGCGUGAUAUGACAAUAUCUUCACCACUGGUGGAACCAGCUGUUGAGUCAUUCUGGGAAUCUGAAGGCAACAGUUUUGAAUGGUGCAGAGCCUGUUGGUACAAGUUUGCAGAUACUAAAUGCUCUUCUACUUUGCAGUGUUGUGCCCUCUGCUUCACCAGACCCGAAGAAGUACAUCAAGUUUCAGAACUCCACUAUUAGAACUGUUUGAGAAAUGCAGGAUCUUACAGUGCAUCGCACAAAGUGGACACAGAUUGUUCUCGUCACGCUUCUCACCGCAAGAGCUGAGUGCCCAAGUGAACACAAUUUAUCUUGGAAACGUCAGCCAGAGGUUUGUGUGGGUAACAGCGUCCAUGAGACGGAGAACCAGGGGUGCAAGAGGGAAUGCUUAUUCUACAAUUACCGCACUUUUUCGAGGAUCCACACCACUUUGUGGCUCCAGCACCAGUGGUGCUUCCUGUCAACACUUUCAAGCAUGUGACACUACAAAUGUUUAGUUUAGCGUGUUUUUAACCACCAAAGCUCAUCACAUUUUGCAUAAUAUUUGUGCUUUAUUGUAACGAACAGAUCUGAAGGGUUCACCCGUGUGACUAGUUUUGCAUACUUUGUGUACAGUUUUUGGUUGAAAUAAAUCCAUUACAAAAUG